GUGACAGAAGUGGCAUUUUGAUGGCUCAGGUGACAGCAGCAACUGUGGACCACACAGGACUGUCACAGCCAAGCCGCAAGUCACGGGCUGGGAGCCAGGAGGCCUGCAUCUAGUCCUACCGCCUGGGAGCUCUCCAGCGAGGAGUUUCAAAUCUGUGACGUGGGGAUGACUACAAUGUCUCACUUACUCAUGGGGAUAAGAACACAGAGGCCAGCGAUACGAAUAUAUUUUCAAAAGUCUAAAGGACAAAUUGGAGCUCUCAGUGUGAAGUGUCAGGAAGGCAGGCCUGUGGGAGGUGAUCAGGCCAGGACGAUGGAGCCCUCCUGAAUAGGGCCUUGCUGUGAGGCUGCCUUCCAGGGGUGAGCAGUACGGGCAGUGACCUGAAUGAACAAGGUUAAGGUGAGGGAGGGAGGUAAGUCCCUGUCUUAGAAGUACUGCAAUCUGUCCCCUUUUCUUCAUCCACACAGCAUUAGUUUAGGUUCUGGAUGUCCCCAUGAGUCCAAUUUUGCACCCUGCCGCCUCCAGCUAUUGGCCUCUCUGUGGCUGCAGGGUGCCAGAACCAUCCACUUGUGCUUCUCUGCAGCAGAGAGCAUGUGG